UACGUAGGGGGCAAGCGUUGUCCGGAAUCAUUGGGCGUAAAGAGCGUGUAGGCGGCCCGAUAAGUCCGCUGUGAAAGUCCAGGGCUCAACCCUGGAAUGGCCGGUGGAUACUGUCGGGCUCGAAUCCGGAAGAGGUGAGUGGAAUUCCUGGUGUAGCGGUGAAAUGCGCAGAUAUCAGGAGGAACACCAAUGGCGAAGGCGGUUGCCUGGAGCUUUGCUGACGCUGAUGCGCGAAAGCGUGGGGAGCGAUCCGG
rnacentral:rRNA from 1 species